UGGAACAUCCCAGUGGCCUGCAUCUGCCU
rnacentral:piRNA from 1 species